AUAAAGAAAGUUAUUGAUUGGUUAUAGUUUCUUGACUACGUACAAAACAAAUGUUGAAUUUCAAAAAAAAAAAGACUCUUGCUCUUAAGGCAGGAAAAAUCUUGCAAAUAGGACAAAAAAUAAACAAAAAAAUAAACGUACACUCAAAGAUUAUGGCAAACAAUUUAGAAAAAAUGGAAAGGGGAAUAAGUCAGCAACUUUCAUAUCGAUUACAACAAACUCUUCUCAGACAUGUCGAGCUGUUGAAAUAGAAAUGCCAAUUGAUGAGCCAUUUACUACCAAGGAUUCUGCUUUGUGGGCGGAAAACUUGUCUAGAAGUUGAACGCGAUGCUGUAGUACUUAAGGAACCUCCUCAAAAUCUUUUAUCUUUUCCAAGAGACUUGUGUAAUAUAAAAGUACCUGAAUCAGUUUUCUACGUAGUAUCUCGCAAUGGAGAAAUAAUGAAUGAAGAUUGGCUUGUUUGGAGUGCAACUUCAAAGUUCUUUGUUUUCCGUGCUCAUUUUUCAGAAACACGCAACCUCAGCGUGAUAUUAUAUUUGUAUUUACAUCAUUGUUAAUAUAUUAUAAUUAAACAAAAAGU